rnacentral:rRNA from 1 species
UACGUAGGGGGCUAGCGUUAUCCGGAAUUACUGGGCGUAAAGGGUGCGUAGGUGGUUUCUUAAGUCAGAGGUCAAAGGCUACGGCUCAACCGUAGUAAGCCUUUGAAACUGUAGGGCUUGAGUGCAGGAGAGGAGAGUGGAAUUCCUAGUGUAGCGGUGAAAUGCGUAGAUAUUAGGAGGAACACCAGUGGCGAAGGCGACUCUCUGGACUGCAACUGACGCUGAGGCACGAAAGCGUGGGUAGCAAACAGGAUUAGAUACCCUGGUAGUCCCUGA